GAUGAACGCUGGCGGCGUGCUUAACACAUGCAAGUCGAACGGGAUCCCAGGAGCUUGCUCCUGGGUGAGAGUGGCGAACGGGUGAGUAAUGCGUGACCGACCUGCCCCAUACACCGGAAUAGCUCCUGGAAACGGGUGGUAAUGCCGGAUGCUCCGACAUGACGCAUGUCGUGUCGGGAAAGAUUCAUCGGUAUGGGAUGGGGUCGCGUCCUAUCAGGUAGUCGGCGGGGUAACGGCCCACCGAGCCUACGACGGGUAGCCGGCCUGAGAGGGCGACCGGCCACAUUGGGACUGAGAUACGGCCCAGACUCCUACGGGAGGCAGCAGUGGGGAAUAUUGCACAAUGGGCGCAAGCCUGAUGCAGCGACGCCGCGUGCGGGAUGACGGCCUUCGGGUUGUAAACCGCUUUUGACUGGGAGCAAGCCCU
rnacentral:rRNA from 1 species